ACGGCCUGGUGCUGCUUCCCAGGGGCAUCGGAACCAAGCCCAGCACCGGGUCUGACCCGCCCCAUCAUCGCCGGGGUGAGCGCAGCGGCCACCGGCCUCCUCCUCCUCCUCCUCCUCCUGGCCUUCCUCUGCUACAGACGAACCCAAGGAGGGAAAGGACCAGCCCCAAAACAGACCAGGGAGUCCGAGCCUGCAACCACAGUCUACGCCCUCAGGGGUGAAGGGACGCAGCUGGAUGUCCUGCUCCAGGAGCCCGACCCCGGCACCAAGGGACUCACCUACGCCGAGCUGGACGGCCAGGCGCUGCAGGCCAAGCGGGGGGGCACGGCCCCUGCCCCCGAGCCUGUCCUGUACGCCGCCAUCGAUGUCAGCUAGGAGCCCCAUGGGCAGAGCCCCUGGGGUGCAGGGGAGCCCCCCACCCACCCGCAUAGCGUGAACCCAGGGGGAGUUAUCGCAGCGACUGGGCAGGAAGCGUCGGCAACCGGGGGUAACAGAGUGAUUCCCCCCCGAUAAUGGGCUUUGCUUAUAGCCCCCCCGGAACCUCCCCCUCCAGGUGGUUCUG